rnacentral:rRNA from 1 species
UACGUAGGGUGCGAGCGUUAAUCGGAAUUACUGGGCGUAAAGCGUGCGCAGGCGGUUUUGUAAGUUUGUCGUGAAAUCCCCGGGCUCAACCUGGGAAUGGCGAUGAAGACUGCAAGGCUAGAAUCUGGCAGAGGGGGGUAGAAUUCCACGUGUAGCAGUGAAAUGCGUAGAGAUCUGGAGGAAUACCGGUGGCGAAGGCGGCAUCCUGGACCGGCAUUGACGCGUGAGGAGGCGAAAGCUAGGGGAGCAAACGGG